GUGCCAGCCGCCGCGGUAAUACCGGCAGCUCAAGUGAUGUCCCAUAUUAUUGGGCCUAAAGCGUCCGUAGCUGGCCGCACAAGUCCGUCGGGAAAUCCACUCGCUUACCGAGUGGGCGUCCGGCGGAAACUGUGCGGCUUGGGACCGGAAGAUCCAAGGGAUACGUCCGGGGUAGGAGUGAAAUCCCGUAAUCCUGGACGGACCACCGAUGGCGAAAGCACUUCGAGAAAACGGAUCCGACAGUGAGGGACGAAAGCUAGGGUCUCAAACCGGAUUAGAAACCCGAGUAGUCC
rnacentral:rRNA from 1 species